rfam:Rhodococcus sp. MTM3W5.2, complete genome.
CGUGUAGUCCCGCGUUGCAGCCUGACCCCCGACCCGGUUGCAAUGCGGGACUACCCA